rnacentral:rRNA from 1 species
AUAAGGAGCUUGCUCCUUUGACGUUAGCGGCGGACGGGUGAGUAACACGUGGAUAACCUACCUAUAAGACUGGGAUAACUUCGGGAAACCGGAGCUAAUACCGGAUAACAUAUUGAACCGCAUGGUUCAAUAGUGAAAGGCGGCUUUGCUGUCACUUAUAGAUGGAUCCGCGCCGUAUUAGCUAGUUGGUAAGGUGACGGCUUACCAAGGCAACGAUACGUAGCCGACCUGAGAGGGUGAUCGGCCACACUGGAACUGAGACACGGUCCAGACUCCUACGGGAGGCAGCAGUAGGGAAUCUUCCGCAAUGGGCGAAAGCCUGACGGAGCAACGCCGCGUGAGUGAUGAAGGUCUUCGGAUCGUAAAACUCUGUUAUCAGGGAAGAACAAAUGUGUAAGUAACUGUGCACAUCUUGACGGUACCUGAUCAGAAAGCCACGGCUAACUACGUGCCAGCAGCCGCGGUAAUACGUAGGUGGCAAGCGUUAUCCGGAAUUAUUGGGCGUAAAGCGCGCGUAGGCGGUUUUUUAAGUCUGAUGUGAAAGCCCACGGCUCAACCGUGGAGGGUCAUUGGAAACUGGAAAACUUGAGUGCAGAAGAGGAAAGUGGAAUUCCAUGUGUAGCGGUGAAAUGCGCAGAGAUAUGGAGGAACACCAGUGGCGAAGGCGACUUUCUGGUCUGUAACUGACGCUGAUGUGCGAAAGCGUGGGGAUCAAACAGGAUUAGAUACCCUGGUAGUCCACGCCGUAAACGAUGAGUGCUAAGUGUUA